CCGGCAACAGACCAAGUUGCUUUUCUCUCUAGCUGGAUCCACUUAGGAAACCGCACGGCAUCGGACCACAGGGUUAACAAUCAAAAGAUGACAACUAUUUGUAUACUCCUAGUGGUACUUUGCCUCAGUUGUACCUUUAUUGGCGGAACGAGUUCUUCAGGUGAAGAUACAGACUACCUUGCACUGGAACGACCACGACGGAACUGUAUCCCACUCGGCUCCUUCUGCACAAGUAACAGCAGAUGUUGCCAAGGACGGAAGAAAACCAAGAAACGAUGUUGUGGUUGGCUUAUGAGAUGCGCCAAGUCUGGACAGAUGGGAUGCAAGUAGAACGCGGUCGAGGCUGCUUGCCCCCUCCGUUCCCCGUUCCUCCCCACCUACGACGCGUUGCCCGGAACAAUUUUAUUCGCACCAUUCAGAGCAGAUUAUCUUGUACAAGUAAAUGGUCUUUUUUAUAACAAAUUUGUUUGGAAAGUGAUCGGGUAAAAUUAGUUCAAUGAGCACAGAGCGGUAACUAAUAAUAAA